rnacentral:rRNA from 1 species
GAUGAACGCUGGCGGCGUGCUUAACACAUGCAAGUCGAACGGUGAACACGGAGCUUGCUCUGUGGGAUCAGUGGCGAACGGGUGAGUAACACGUGAGUAACCUGCCCCUGACUCUGGGAUAAGCGCUGGAAACGGCGUCUAAUACUGGAUACGAGACGUGAUCGCAUGGUCAACGUCUGGAAAGAAGUUCGGUUGGGGAUGGGAUCGCGGCCUAUCAGCUUGUUGGGGAGGUAAUGGCUCACCAAGGCGUCGACGGGUAGCCGGCCUGAGAGGGUGACCGGCCACACGGGGACUGAGACACGGCCCAGACUCCUACGGGAGGCAGCAGUGGGGAAUAUUGCACAAUGGGCGCAAGCCUGAUGCGGCAACGCCGCGUGAGGGAUGACGGCCUUCGGGUUGUAAACCUCUUUUAGCAGCGAAGAAGCGAAAGUGACGGUACCUGCAGAAAAAGCGCCGGCUAACUACGUGCCAGCCGCCGCCGUAA